rnacentral:lncRNA from 1 species
CAAGAUAAAAGAAGUACAGUUUGGGAUUCUAUACAUUAAAAUGUUUGUUUUGGCUUCCAGAAAGAGAAAUCUCAAGUAAAUAUUGCUGAAAAACCAAGGCUAUUCAUGGGCUAACAGACUGAUAAGGUCUAGGGAGGGCAUAGGUGGGGCGUGCUUCAGUCAGGGCUCCAGCUCUGUCCUAUGCAGUGUUCUUUGACCUGAUCUCUUUUCAAGCUUCAUCCUCAGGCUUCCAGGAAACUGGCUGCCCCAACUCCAGGCCUCGUAUACACGGACAACAAUGCCAAGAAGAAGAGGCCCAGGACUUCUGGAGAUUACAAUGGUACCAAUACAGCAUUUGACAAAGGAAUGACUUGUGGAUGCAUAAUGCAAUUGGAAGUCUAACUGCAAAGCUCUUAGAAGGAUCUUGAUCAGAAGCAUCAGCCACCUUGUAUUUUGGUGGGAUCAUGUGACUGAGGACUCAUUCUCACCAAUGACAAGCAAAUUCUGGCCCCCAGGCUCCGUUUAUCUCCCUCUGUGCUGGGAUGAGGGUCCAGAUUGCCAUAAGGAGCCAAG